GCCAGACUCCUACGGGAGGCAGCAGUGGGGAAUAUUGCACAAUGGGGGAAACCCUGAUGCAGCGACGCCGCGUGAGUGAAGAAGUAUUUCGGUAUGUAAAGCUCUAUCAGCAGGGAAGAAAAUGACGGUACCUGACCAAGAAGCCCCGGCUAACUACGUGCCAGCAGCCGCGGUAAUACGUAGGGGGCAAGCGUUAUCCGGAUUUACUGGGUGUAAAGGGAGCGUAGACGGUGAUGCAAGUCAGAAGUGAAAGCCCGGGGCUCAACUCCGGGACUGCUUUUGAAACUGUGUAACUGGAGUGCAGGAGAGGUAAGCGGAAUUCCUGGUGUAGCGGUGAAAUGCGUAGAUAUCAGGAGGAACACCAGUGGCGAAGGCGGCUUACUGGACUGUAACUGACGUUGAGGCUCGAAAGCGUGGGGAGCAAACAGGAUUAGAUACCCCAGUAC
rnacentral:rRNA from 1 species